GGGGGUGGUGGGUCCAGUGGGGGGUGUUUGGUCCAGUGGGGGGUGUUGGGUCUAUCUGGGGUGUCACGGUUCCGGCGGGACUCGUGUGCCCCACGGGGCUGACGUUCCCCCCACGGGGCUGACGUGCCCCCCACGGGGCUGACGUGUCCCCCCACGGGGCUGACGUUCCCCCCACGGGGCUGACAUGCCCCCAGCCCGCGGAGGAGAAGGCGCAGCUGCUGCAGAACAGCGAGUACCAGGAGCGCAUGGUGGAGUCCACGUUCCUGUACCUGACCCUGGACCUGCCCACGGCGCCGCUCUACAAGGACGAGAAGGAGCAGCUCAUCAUCCCCCAGGUGCCCCUGUUCAGCAUCCUGGCCAAGUUCAACGGCAGCACCGAGAAGGAGUACAAGACCUACAAGGAGAACUUCCUGAAGCGGUUCCAGCUGACGCGCCUGCCCCCCUACCUCAUCUUCUGCAUCAAGCGCUUCACCAAGAACAAUUUCUUCGUGGAGAAGAACCCCACCAUCGUCAACUUCCCCAUCACGAACGUGGACCUGCGGGAAUACCUGUCGGAGGAGGUGCAGGCCGCCCACUCCCACACCACCUACGACCUCAUCGCCAACAUCGUGCACGACGGGAAGCCCUCGGAGGGCUCCUACCGCAUCCACGUCCUGCACCACGGCACAGGGAAGUGGUACGAGCUGCAGGACCUGCAGGUGACCGACAUCCUGCCACAGAUGAUCACCCUGUCUGAGGCCUACAUCCAGAUCUGGAAGCGACGAGAGGAGGAUGAGACAAACCAACAAGGCGCAUGAGACCCUUGGGGACAUCCAGAAACCCCCUUGGGAGCACCCCAGCUCCCCCUCAAGGAUAUCCCCAGCCCCCUAGGGGUACCCCGAGACCCCUUUAGGAGCACCCCAAGCUCCCCCGUGGACACCCAGAGACUCGCAGGGACACCCAUAGCCCACCUGGGGACACCCCCAGUCCCCCCCGGAGGUGGGUGUCCCCCAGUAAAUGCCACCAACUAUUUUUGUAACUCAUUUUCACCUCUUCUCUUCUUUGGGUUUGGGGGGUGUUUGUGGUUUCUGCUGCUUC
rnacentral:lncRNA from 1 species